rnacentral:lncRNA from 1 species
UUUGCAUACGUCUGAACUUAAUCUAGCCCAAUAGCUUUUAGGGUUAAAAAUUGUAACUUGAUAAUUAACCUUUUAAUAGUUUCCUACCAAAAGUCCAUUUGAUCCCGCCUAAUAUUAUACUUUAGUGGCCUACUAUAAAUAUCAUUUUCUUCCUUCAACUCCCAGGAUCCCAUCAUCUCCAACUAACUUUUCACCUCUAACUUGAGUGUCAACUACAUAGAUCAAUAUGACAAUUUAUUUUUUGAAUUAUUUUUCUGUAUCCAUGUGUAUCCGACAUGUUUCAAGCAAUGUCAAACAAGUAUGUGUUCAACACAAGUCCAAUAUAAAUACAUGUGUUAGACCCAUGUGUGGACACCAAAUUUGUCCGGGCUUGUGAAUUGGAUCUUGAUUUAAAAUUUGUUAAAUGUAUCGGGCUCCCAAGCCCAAAGCCUGAUUUCAUUUUAACUGAACCCAAGACCCGAUUUUGAUUGAGCCCAAGAUCUAAUUUCGUUUUUAAUCCUAAAGCCGGUUUAUC